GGUUGAUCUUCCCCCUCCGAGACUCCGAUUGUAUAAACCUGCAUUCUGUUCGGCAGGAAUGGACUGUUUUGGGCCUUUUGUGGUGAAAUUGGGACGCCGGACAGAAAAGAGAUGGGGCCUCCUAUUCAAGUGUCUCACCACCCGUGCUGUGCACAUAGAGGUGCUAACCUCCAUGAGCAGUGACUCCUUCCUAAUGGCCCUAAGAAGGUUUAUUGGUUGACGUGGCCAGCCUGCAGAACUGUACUCUGAUCAGGGUACAAAUUUUCGAGGUGGAGAGACGGAACUCCGGGAAAGCUUCCGCCAACUCAGUCCAGACUUACAACAGCUGUUAGCCAAGCAAAGGAUCAGUUUCCACUUCAAUCCUCCGGCCUCUCCACACUUCGGAGGUGUGUGGGAGAGGGAGAUCCGGUCAAUAAAGUCGUCCCUUCGUACAACACUAGGCUCAGAAACGGUGUCCGAAGAAGUUCUUCAGACAGUUCUGAUCGAGAUCGAAGCCAUCCUAAAUUCCAAACCUUUAGGAUAUGUUUCAGCAGAUCUGGCUGAUCCGGAUCCUGUUACCCCCAAUUGCCUGCUGAUGGGGCGGCCUGACGGUUCCUUACCCCAGGUGGUGUAUCCAGAGACCGAAAUCCUUACCAAGAGGCGAUGGAGGCACUCCCAGGUAUUAGCCGACAGAUUCUGGACAGCAUUUAUAAGGCACUACCUACCGGCAAUGCAGACAAGAGGAAAGUGGCAAAGACCAUCACCUGACAUUCAGCCUGGUUCCGUAGUCAUGUUAGCUGACCCUCAGGUACCUCGGUCCUUGUGGCACAUUGGUAGAGUGACAAAGGUCUUCCCAGGAGCAGAUGGCCAUGUCAGAACUGCAGAGAUACAGAUAAAAGACCGAACAUAUACUAGGCCUAUAGCUCGUCUGAUUGUGCUUCCUGAAAUCCCUGAAGAGGAUCAGCAUCCUGGAAGUGAAGACAAACAACAGAAAGCCUGAAUUAGUUUCCAACGGAAAACAAAUUUACAAGUAAAUUUGGGGGCGGCAAUGUUGGAAAGGCGGGGCUUAGCUCACCUGUCAAUCAUCAUCUAUGACGCAGUAAAAUGAAGCGGGAGACAAACUUGCCUGAGACUGAGAGAAAUAACCUCAAUUUGUGUGCUAUUGUGUGCGUCUAUGACUGAUUUACCACACAUCUACCCACAAAUUCUCAACCUGCCACUUAUGUAAAUCUUCAGUGUUCAAUAAACCCCUUUGAUUUAA